GGCAAUGGCGGAGAGCAAGUCCAAUUACACAAGUGCUUUUAGUCCUCUGCUCGUGUAAUGUUUACUAACAUGCUAAUGACCAAAGGAAGUCACAAGGGCGAAAACAAACUGCCUCUAAAAACCCUGCAAAGCAUCUGAGAGACACUGGGGCCGUCUGAGCGUCCAGACAGAGCUGUUAGUCACAUCUACCGGGGCAGUUCUACUUUGGGUGAUGUGCACAUAGGGACUGUUUCAUUUCAGCCAGCUGGAGCAACCAGCCUUAUGCAGUGUUCACCCUGGAAGGCAGUAGGCGAUGGCUCAAGUGCUUGGAUCACUGCCACCUAAGUGGGAGACUCAGAUUGAGUUCCUGGAUCCUGGCGUUGGCCUGGCCCAGUCCAGCUGUUGCAGGCCUGGGUCACUCAAUCUUCCCUGAAUAAACCUUAUCUGAGCCUUUUCAUGAAGACUUCUCAUUUCUGUCAGUAAGGAUGAGCCCAGAACCGGCAUCGGGAGGUCCAGCAAGACGAGGCCCUGAAGUGAGGAACCGAGGCCCUUCUCGCAGUCAACCUGCCACGCCAUGUUCAGAGUUUGGCUUACAGGGUGGUGGCCAAUGUCACACCACAGAGCCGGUCACGGCAGAUUCCGCUCACUGCCACUGGCAAGCGUUGCAGACAGCAACAAGGCCGGCCCCACUGGUGAGCACGUGACUCCGUAGUUACACUGACAGUGCUUCGAGCACCAGAUCCCAGAUGUUGCUGCUACCGGUGCCCAUCAAAAAAGAUUCUUGGGGCCAGCACUGUGGCACAGUGGGUUAACACCCUGGUCUGAAGCACUGGCAUUCCGUAUGGGCGCCGGUUCAAGACCCAGCUGCUCUACUUCCUAUCCAGCUCUCUGCUAUGGCCCGGGAAAGCAGUAGAAGAUGGCCCUAGUCCUUGGGCCCCUGUACCCACGUGGGAGACAAAGAAGAAGCUCCUGGCUCUUGGCUUCGGAUCGGCACAGCUCCAGGGGAGUGAACACAUCUGGGAGUGAACCAUCGGAUGGAAGACCUCUCUCUCUCUCUCUCUCUCUCUCUGCCUCUCCUCUCUCUGUGUAAC